rnacentral:rRNA from 1 species
UAGGGAAUCUUCGGCAAUGGACGGAAGUCUGACCGAGCAACGCCGCGUGAGUGAAGAAGGUUUUCGGAUCGUAAAGCUCUGUUGUUAUAGAAGAACGUUGGUAGGAGCGGAAAAUCUACCAAGUGACGGUAACUAACCAGAAAGGGACGGCUAACUACGUGCCAGCAGCCGCGGCAAUACGUAGGUCCCGAGCGUUGUCCGGAUUUAUUGGGCGUAAAGCGAGCGCAGGCGGUUCUUUAAGUCUGAAGUUAAAGGCAGUGGCUUAACCAUUGUACGCUUUGGAAACUGGAGGACUUGGGUGCAGAAGGGGAGAGUGGAAUUCCAUGUGUAGCGGUGAAAUGCGUAGAUAUAUGGAGGAACACCGGUGGCAAAAGCGGCUCUCUGGUCUGUAACUGACGCUGAGGCUCGAAAGCGUGGGGGGCAAACAGG